AGUGCAAAAAAAAAGUGAGAUCAUUCUGCUUCUCCCCCUCCUCCUUGGCCAUGCAUUUCCUUUUUUCUGGUGGCCAUGGCAAGCUGAACUAGAAGAAAACAAACCUCACCAUAAAAAAGGUGUAAAAGCCAAGGCAAGCGAACAGAACACCAGAGGUAACAAGAGAUCAAAGGUCUUUUGUGAACGGUGCUGAGCAGCCACCUACCCCACAGAUACUCUAAGAGAAACCUGGAUUUCAGCCCAGUGUCUCUGGGAAUAUGCCUAUGAGAAGGUAUUAGUGGGCAUUACAUACUUGCUGCACUUAGGAAGGUGUGGAAGGAAUGGCAGGGAAGGUAUGGAGUCUAUGGAUUUGGCUUCAAGCAGAGUAACUGCGUGCUCGCAAGCAGCCACUGAUUUUCAACACCCCCCACAUCUGCGAUUUCAUUUUUCACUUGAGAGUCUCUCAAUUUCUCUGGCAUUUCCAGCUGCUGCAUUAGUCUGUGCCAUUAUAAUGCCUGCAGGAUCUAAGAAAUAAUCUAUGACCAUGUUCUCUAGGCUGCUGUGUUUUGCUAACCCAAGGGGAAACACUGACAACACAGUACAGUGCUCUCAGCGUUGUUUCACUCCGCAGGGGAAGGCUGCAAUGAUUUUAAAGGCAGAAAUACUUCUAGAAACUUUGUAAGCACUCUUCAAAGAGCUGGACUGACUGUGAUCAUUGUUCUGACUUUUACCUUGGGAAGGAGGACUUAAAUGCUGUGCUACUGCCUGCAUAUAUUUUAGGAAUGUGUAUUUUUUCCCUUAUUCCUAAACUCUGCUAGUGUUUUAUAAUCAUUUUAGUACUUCACUAACUAUAGCCAAGAGCAGAUACCGAAAGAGGAACCAGAAGACACAACAGGACAUAAAUGUAGAAUUGGGAGAACAUGCUGGGGAAAAGCUUUAUUUCCUAAGGUAUCAGUCAAGGACUUCUUGAAAUAUGUGGUGUCAUUACAUGCAUUUGUCUACCAUGAAUUUAGAAAAUCAAUAAAUUCAUAAUUUUGUGAAGCUGUGCAAACUUGCAGCACUCAAUGUUUUAUUGAAAACAUUUUUACAGUUUCUGAAUAUCAUGCUAUGUUUGCUUCCAUUUAAUCUGCCAUCUGUUUGAUUUUCUGCUUCUUGGAGAAUACAAGACCAUGAUUAAUUGCUCUCUUCCACCUCAUUCAUGGUUGUAUAGACUUCAGUUGUAGCUGCUUCUCUGUUCCUAACAAAGAAGUUGUUUCCUCCCUUGACUAUCCUUGUUGACCCUCUGUAGUUUUAUCAUCCACUUUGAAAACAGAAAUCAAAAAUGAACUAUGUUUAUGGUACAGGCAUAACAUUAUUUAGAUCUUAAAGCAAUAUGUUUUGUUCCAAAUAUUUUUCUUAGCAAUUCCUGUCUUAUUUGCUUUGACAUCUGCUGAUCCUGUGAUGUUUUUGUUUAUGUUUUUGUGGGGUAUCUCAUUCCUAACAUUUAAUUCAGAGCUCAGCUUUGUAAAUGUAAAUAUUAGGAUCAUCCUUUCCUCUUCUACUCAAGGCUAUUUACUGACAUCUAGGUUUCAAAAAAACCCAAAAAACCCAAAAAAAACCAAAGCCAACAACUAUGGCUUACGUAUGAGAAUGGCUUCUGCACCUUGUUAAAACUUCCCAUUUUUACUACUCUGAAUAACCUGGUGUACCAAAACCCUAGUCUCAAUCAACCAGAAAGAGCUAAGGAGCACAGAUCCCUCCUGGCUGUCACUCACAACCCCCCUCAUUGAAAACUGAUGUACAUUGACUUGGAUGGGAAGGGGCCUCCAGAAGGUAUCUACUCCAACCUCCUGCUCACAGUAGGUGAUGCCAGAGCUGAGUAGUCAGGGUCUUGACCAGUCUAGAAUACCUCCAGCUGUGCAGGUUGAGUGGGUUUGUUUUGUCUUUUUUAUUUGGUUGGGGUUUUAACUCCUCCAACGACCUCUCCAGGGCCCUAUUCCAGUUGAUGAUCUCCCCAACAAUUUAAAAAAUCAAACAACCUCCCAAAAACAUAACAGAAACCCCACAACAUCUAACUUAUUAAUGUAUUUUGUUGGAAUUUUCCGUAUCCAGACUUCUCGCUGUUGCAUCUCAUUGUUCUAUCCUGUUUCUUGUCUUUUAAUCACGUGGGGGCAUCCCACUACCUUAUGGUAGUGCAUAUAUACUAGAGCCGUUCGAGAGACCAUCACGUAGAGAACGGAAUUUGGCUUUCCUUUGCAGUAUGUCCUGCAUGAAGAAAUAAGCCAUUGCCUUUUCCCCAGGACCCUACCACUCUAAGUAGUGAUAAUUGCACCUUCUACCUGUUACAAGAAUCUUUUGGUUACAAGUUCUGUGCAGACUGCAAAGCAACCAAUGCUGAGGGACAGAAAGUGCAUGCAAAUCUGUAAAAGCAUGGCUGGGAUGUAAGACUUCUAAACUAACUUUUAAGUAAAUGCUAUUUUACUACAUCAACCAUAACUAUUACUCCAAAUAAUAGUUUCUAAUGUGACUUACCUAAGUAUUUAGAGAGCACCAGGAAAAUGUUACUACAAAUUCUACAUUUAAUGUUGUAGUAUUGAUCAAUAAAGAAACAUAGUUUACACUAUGUAAUUCAGAGAUGUAAUUCGUGAAAUGUGAGCUUCUGUAAAAAUCUUUUAACAUCAUUGACCAAAUUCUUUAACAAAUUCAUAGCAAAGGUA